rnacentral:snoRNA from 1 species
GAUGCCCCUUGAGGCGUUGCAGCUCAACCAUCAGUGUUGCAGCUGGGUCAUGAGGUGGCAGAGAGAGAAGAGUGGAGGUCUGCACUGAGACUCCAACACAUGGAGGACUCAGAGUCAUACUUCCACCAACAGU